rnacentral:ncRNA from 18 species
AAGAAUUGAAUGUACACAGGUGUCCGUUUUUUUCGGAAUAAUAGGAAAGCCGGGUGCAAUUCCCGCACGGUCACGCCGCUGUAACUAGCAGAGCACAUUUCAUCAUUGCCACUGGGGAACCGGGAAGGCGAAAUGCUGCAAUGACGCUUAAGUCAGAAGACCUGCCUGCUGCAUACGAUUUACA